rnacentral:rRNA from 1 species
CACGUAGGGUGCGAGCGUUGUCCGGAAUUAUUGGGCGUAAAGAGCUCGUAGGCGGUGUGUCGCGUCGGCCGUGAAAACUUGCAGCUUAACUGUGGGCGUGCGGUCGAUACGGGCAUCACUGGAGUUCGGCAGGGGAGACUGGAAUUCCUGGUGUAGCGGUGAAAUGCGCAGAUAUCAGGAGGAACACCGGUGGCGCAGGCGGGUCUCUGGGACGGUACUGACGCUGAGACGCGAAAGCGUGGGGAGCGAACAGG